GAACGCUGGCGGCAUGGCUAAAACAUGCAAGUCGAGGGAGAAGGAGACUUCGGUCUCUGGACACCGGCGAAAGGGCGAGUAAUGCGAUCGAACGUGCCCCGAGGUAGAGGAUAGCCGUGGGAAACUGCGGGUAAUACUCUAUAAGUUCCAAGGAAGAAAGCUCCGGCGCCUUGGGAGCGGCGAUCGUCCUAUCAGGUUGUUGGUGAGGUAACGGCUCACCAAGCCGAAGACGGGUAGCGGGUGUGAGAGCAUGACCCGCCGCAUCGGGACUGAGACACUGCCCGGACUCCUACGGGAGGCUGCAGUAACGAAUAUUCCGCAAUGCGCGAAAGCGUGACGGAGCAAUGCCGCGUGCAGGAUGAAGCCCCUCGGGGUGUAAACUGCUGUCAGGGUUUAGGAACACAAUGACCAAACCCAAAGGAAGGACCGGCUAACUCUGUGCCAGCAGCCGCGGUAAUACAGAGGGUCCAAGCGUUGAUCGGAAUCACUGGGCUUAAAGGGUUCGCAGGCGGAUCUGUAAGUAUGUUGUGAAAUCCCACGGCUCAACCGUGGAAUUGCUUCGUAGACUGCAGAUCUUGAGCACGACAGGGGCCAUCAGAACGAUAGGUGGAGCGGUGAAAUGCGUAGAUAUCUAUCGGAAUGCCAAAGGUGAAGACAGAUGGCUGGGUCGUCGCUGACGCUCAGGAACGAAAGCAUGGGUAGCGAACGGGAUUAGAUACCCCGGUAGUCCAUGCCCUAAACGAUGUGUACUAGUUCGAGGAGGUUUUAACGCCAUCUCGGACGAAGCUAAAGUAUUAAGUACACCGCCUGGGGAGUACGGUCGCAAGGCUAAAACUCAAAGGAAUUGACGGGGGCCCGCACAAGCGGCGGAGCAUGCGGAUUAAUUCGAUGCAACGCGAAGAACCUUACCAAGGCUUGACAUAUAGAGGAAAAGUGCAGAGAUGCACUCCCCGCAAGGUCUCUAUACAGGUGGUGCAUGGUUGUCGUCAGCUCGUGUCGUGAGAUGUUGGGUUAAGUCCCGCAAC
rnacentral:rRNA from 1 species